CAAUCCUCUUUGAGAUACUUUGUCUGGCAAACUGUUACUCCUUAUUAGAUGCUAAAUCUUCAAUCAAGGCUAAGUUUGGCAUUUCGUCUCAUUGGUCACAUUAUACCCCG